rnacentral:rRNA from 1 species
UACAGAGGGUGCGAGCGUUAAUCGGAAUUACUGGGCGUAAAGCGUGCGCAGGCGGUUUUGUAAGUCAGAUGUGAAAUCCCCGGGCUUAACCUGGGAACUGCGUUUGAAACUACAAGGCUAGAGUGUGACAGAGGGGGGUGGAAUUCCACGUGUAGCAGUGAAAUGCGUAGAGAUGUGGAGGAACACCGAUGGCGAAGGCAGCCCCCUGGGUUAACACUGACGCUCAGGCACGAAAGCGUGGGGAGCAAACAGG